rnacentral:lncRNA from 1 species
GGUCUCUCAGGCCCAGUUGCACAGCAUCCAAGCCUCUUCUAGGCUGGGAGCCUCUCCACUUCUCCCUGUGGUCCUCCCAUCAUCACUCAAGCAGCCACAGUCCACCUCCAAAGAAGAGAAGUAACUGCCUUUCCUUGUCCCUGGUCAUGACUUAAAUCACAGCAGAGAAAAGGAAAGCACUUCAGGAGGGCCAGCACCACAGUGGGCAGCAGCAGUGUCACUUCUACCAGCAGCCUAGGUGACUGUCAGUGGACAUGCAGGCCAUGUGGACAGCCUGUUACCUCAAAACACCCAGAACAAGCACGCCUUCCCAGGAGGCCACUUGUCCCCUACUCUGUCAGAGCCUUGGCUUCUCAACUCCAUUCUGCUCGCUGCUGGGGCUCCUCUCUAUCAGCUUGGUUCACAGCACAGCCCACCUGAAGAGCAGCGCCCUCUGUCAGCCUGCUGAAGGGGGUCAGCAUAUGGCUCCUGGGGAGAAUAAAGACACAGACUGG